GACGAACGCUGGCGGCGUGCCUAAUACAUGCAAGUAGAACGCUGAAGGAGGAGCUUGCUUCUCUGGAUGAGUUGCGAACGGGUGAGUAACGCGUAGGUAACCUGCCUGGUAGCGGGGGAUAACUAUUGGAAACGAUAGCUAAUACCGCAUAAUAGCAGUUGUUGCAUGACAACUGUUUGAAAGGUGCAAUUGCACCACUACCAGAUGGACCUGCGUUGUAUUAGCUAGUUGGUGGGGUAACGGCUCACCAAGGCGACGAUACAUAGCCGACCUGAGAGGGUGAUCGGCCACACUGGGACGGAGACACGGCCCAGACUCCUACGGGAGGCAGCAGUAGGGAAUCUUCGGCAAUGGGCGGAAGUCUGACCGAGCAACGCCGCGGGAGUGAAGAAGGUUGUCGGAUCGUAAAGCUCUGUUGUAAGGGAAGAACGAGUGUGAGAGUGGAAAGUUCACACUGUGGCGGUAUCUUACCAGAAAGGGACGGCUAACUACGUG
rnacentral:rRNA from 1 species